GUCUUUACUUCUCACCAUUAAAUAUUUCCUUGAUUUUCUCCCACUACGAUUUAUUCAAUCAUCUCCUACUGACGCGAUCGAGUCCUUCUCCUCUCUUUUAUGCCUUUUCUUAAGAACCCUAACUCUAUCUUUGGAGAAAAUUGAAAGUUUGGAUUUUGUUUUGCAGGACUACGGAAGAUGAUAUAAUUGUAUAUCAAGUAACAUCUGAGGACAUUGUUGAUGACUUUGAGACGAAGUGGUUGAUGUUAAAGACAAAGAGCUUAAUAAGCAGAAGCUGAGGAGAAGAAUUGAUCAGCACAAGCUUCCACCGUGGAGGUGCGGCUGGUUCGUUUUCCCCAGCGCUCAUACUCGGUGAUGAUCGUGAUAAAAACAGUCGAUCCGGAGGAGGACAAUAAUUACUGGAAGAGCCACCCUGUAUGUCUUCUUGCGGUGAUUAUCUUAAAAGGAACUUCUCCUGGUGGCUUGAUUGAGGCAUGUUUCCCUUCAUGCAGUGUCCUAGAAUAAUCAUUAGCGAUGUAGAGGUAAGCAAGACUCUUGCUUGAACCAAGUACAUGGAGUAUGGUUUGAAAUGAGACUGAGGCAAGAACCUUCUCCAGGGUUCACAGCUGGAGACAAUACAAUACGACUACUGUGAUCACACAAGUUCCAUAUCAUGUGGUUUAUGCCAAAGAUGGAAAGGUGAUGAAGUACCCAGUUAUUUGAAGUGGUAACAGAUGGUGAGAAGUCGAAGGCGGGGAAGAAGCGAGCUAAGGCUCCAUGGGCAAAGCUACUUUCUCAGUAUUCUCAGGACAUUGAGUAUGGAUUCAUGAGCGGCGACAAGGACAACUUCAACCUCGCCGAUCUAACCGCCUCUCUUAAAGACAGGAUCGAGCUGGCCUUAUGAACUCUCUCAAGAACAAGCUAAUGGCUGGUCAGCGUUCUGAUGUUCUCGAGAGUCUGACUCCUCAAGUGAGAAACCGUGUUGAAGCCUUGAGGGACAUACAGGGAAAGCAUGAUGAGCUUGAUGCAGAGUUCCGUGAGGAGAGAGCUGUUCUUGAAACCAAGUAUGAUAAGUUGUAUCAGCCUUUGUAUACC